UUAAUUUUUUUAAUUAUUUUAUUUUAAUAAUUUAAAUUGGUUAAAGAAGUAUUUUUUAUUUUAUUAUAAUAUUGAAAAAAUUAUUUUUAAUUAUAGUUAAUUUGUAUUGUGAAAGAUUUUAUUUAAUUUUAUAAAAGAAAAAUUAUUUAUUUGUACCUUGUGUAUCAGGGUUAAUUAAAUUAAAAAAAUUUUGAAAUUUUUAUCUCGAAUUUAAUAGAGCUAAAAUAAAAUUUUUUUAUUGUAUUAUAAAUAUUAUAAAUUUUAUUUUAGAAAUGAAAUGUUAUUCGUUAUUAAAUAUAUCUAGUUUUUUAAGAAAUAAAUUAAAUUUAUUAAUUUUAAAUAAUUAUAUAAUUUUUAUUUUUUUAUUAAAAAUUAAUAAUAAUUUUAGGGAUUAGCUUAAAAUUAAAUUUUUAUUAGAUAUAUGAAUAUAAAUUAUUUUGUAGGAUUAAAAUUUUCUAUGAUUGUUAAAUUUUAUAAUUAAGUUAAUUUUAUAUUUUAUUUAUAUUUUUCUAUAAAUUUUAUAUUAAAAUAAUAUUAAAAAUUUUAUUUAAUAAUAAAUAAUGAUUAAAUUAGUAUAAUAUUUUGUAAUUUUUAAAUUUAAUUAUUUAGAUAAAAUUAAGGAAUUCGGCAAAUUUAUUUUUUACCUGUUUAUUAAAAACAUGGCUUUUUGUUUAAAAUUUAAAGUCUGACCUGCCCCCUGAAAUUUUAAAUGGCCGCAGUAUUUUGACUGUGCUAAGGUAGCAUAAUCAUUAGUUUUUUAAUUGAAAGCUUGUAUGAAAGGUUGGAUAAGAAAAUAACUGUCUCAAUUUUAAAAUUAGAAUUUUAUUUUUAAGUUAAAAAGCUUAAAUAAAAUUAAAAGACGAGAAGACCCUAUAGAGUUUUAUUAAUAUUAUAAUUAUAUAAAUUAGUAUUUUUAAAUUAUAAUUAUAAAAUUAAAUUAGUUGGGGUGAUUAUUAAAUAAAAUAAACUUUUUUAAAAAAUUGACAUAGAUAAAUGAUUAGUUGAUCCUAAAUUUUAGAUUAAAAGAUUAAAUUACCUUAGGGAUAACAGCGUAAUUUUUUUUAAGAGUUCUAAUUGAAAAAAAAGAUUGCGACCUCGAUGUUGGAUUAAAAUAUGUAGUUGGUGUAGAGGCUAAUUAACUAGGUCUGUUCGACCUUUAAAAUUUUACAUGAUCUGAGUUUAAACCGGCGUAAGCCAGGUUGGUUUCUAUCUUUAAUAAAUUAAAAUAUUUUAGUACGAAAGGACCAAAUAUUUAAUUUUAAAUUUUUUUUUUGAAUAUUAUU
rnacentral:rRNA from 1 species